GACGAACGCUGGCGGCGUGCCUAACACAUGCAAGUCGAGCGGAGUCGAUCGACGGAAGCCUUCGGGCGGAAGAUGGUUGACUUAGCGGCGGAUGGGUGAGUAACGCGUGGGCAACCUGCCUCGAAGACCGGGAUAACAGCCCGAAAGGGCUGCUAAUACCGGAUGUGGUCAAGGAUCCGCAUGGAUUUUUGAUUAAAGGGGAAACCCGUUUCGAGAUGGGCCCGCGUCCUAUCAGCUAGUUGGUGAGGUAAAAGCUCACCAAGGCGACGACGGGUAGCCGGCCUGAGAGGGUGACCGGCCACACUGGAACUGAGACACGGUCCAGACUCCUACGGGGGCAGGCAGUGGGGAAUCUUCCACAAUGGGCGAAAGCCUGAUGGAGCGACGCCGCGUGAGCGAAGAAGGCCUUGGGUUGUAAAGCUCUGUCUGGAGGACGAAGGAAGUGACGGUACCUCCGGAGGAAGCCACGGCUAACUACCGUAGCCCAAGGCAAGCCGCGGGUAAUAAGUCAACGUGUA
rnacentral:rRNA from 1 species